rnacentral:rRNA from 1 species
GACGAACGCUGGCGGCGUGCUUAACACAUGCAAGUCGAACGCUGAAGCUCAGCUUUUGUUGGGUGGAUGAGUGGCGAACGGGUGAGUAACACGUGAGUAACCUGCCUCCUUCUUUGGGAUAACGCCCGGAAACGGGUGCUAAUACUGGAUAUUCACUGGUCUUCGCAUGGGGGUUGGUGGAAAGGGUUUUUCUGGUGGGGGAUGGGCUCGCGGCCUAUCAGCUUGUUGGUGGGGUGAUGGCCUACCAAGGCUUUGACGGGUAGCCGGCCUGAGAGGGUGACCGGGCACAUGGGGACUGAGAUACGGCCCAGACUCCUACGGGAGGCAGCAGUGGGGAAUAUUGCACAAUGGGCGCAAGCCUGAUGCAGCGACGCCGCGUGAGGGAUGGAGGCCUUCGGGUUGUGAACCUCUUUCGCUCAUGGUCAAGCCGCAACAAUGGUUGUGGUGAGGGUAGUGGGUAAAGAAGCGCCGGCUAACUACGUG